UCCCCGCAACUUGCAAGGUCGUCGCUGUGGCACUGCGGAAUUGAAAUCAGCGAAUUACCAGCAGACGAUAACGGUGUGGACUUGGGGCAGCACAGUUCUGAGGUGACCGGCCAUGGCGUUGCCGGUAUCAUAGACGUAUGCUUCUUCGAUAUCCCUGCAAUAACUUGUACACUUUUGGUGACAAUGCGCUCCAAGGACAGGAUCUCUUACUUCUACGAUGGUGACGUGGGAAGCGUUUACUUUGGGCCAAACCAUCCAAUGAAGCCUCACCGUCUUUGCAUGACCCAUCAUCUUGUCCUCUCAUACGAGCUUCAUAAGAAGAUGGAAAUUUAUCGUCCACACAAGGCUUAUCCUGUUGAGCUUGCCCAGUUUCAUUCAGCUGAUUAUGUUGAGUUUUUGCACAGGAUUACACCUGACACUCAGCAUCUGUUCUCGAAUGAAUUGGCAAAAUAUAAUCUUGGAGAAGACUGCCCUGUAUUUGACAACUUAUUUGAAUUUUGUCAAAUCUAUGCCGGUGGAACCAUAGAUGCUGCACGUCGAUUAAACAAUCAACUCUGUGACAUUGCUAUAAAUUGGGCUGGUGGACUGCACCAUGCCAAGAAAUGCGAGGCAUCUGGAUUUUGUUACAUCAAUGACUUGGUUUUAGGAAUCUUGGAGCUUCUUAAAUAUCAUGCUCGUGUUUUAUAUAUUGAUAUAGAUGUCCACCAUGGUGAUGGAGUAGAAGAAGCCUUCUACUUCACUGAUAGGGUGAUGACUGUUAGUUUUCACAAGUAUGGAGACAUGUUCUUUCCAGGAACUGGUGAUGUCAAGGAAAUAGGAGAAAAAGAGGGCAAGUUUUAUGCCAUUAAUGUCCCCCUUAAAGACGGAAUAGAUGAUCCUAGCUUCAAUCGGCUUUUUAAGACUAUUAUUUCUAAGGUUGUCGAAAUAUAUCAACCUGGUGUGAUAGUUCUCCAAUGUGGGGCAGAUUCACUUGCUGGAGACCGUCUGGGUUGCUUCAAUCUUUCCAUUGAUGGUCAUGCUGAAUGUGUUAAAUUUGUAAGGAAGUUCAAUUUGCCCUUGCUGGUCACUGGAGGCGGGGGAUACACAAAAGAGAAUGUAGCUCGGUGUUGGACUGUUGAAACUGGAGUUCUUCUAGAUACAGAGCUUCCAAAUGGUUUAUGCAGAAAAUGCAAUCUACAAGACUGCAAACUUUUCUUAUUGCAUGCAUCUCUUCUGUAAUAAAUAGAACUGGCAAUUUAAAGAAAGCUGACAUAAAAUGCCAAGGCUUUAAAAAAAAGUUCUAAGAUAACCCUCUUCAAAUUUCCUUCUAUCGCAAAUGUCCCUUGCGAUUUCAAUGUUGGCAAUUAAGCCACUUGAACUUUCAACAAGUUCAAUGAUCCUCCCGAUCACCAUUUAUCAUGUAAUGAAAAAGGGAGGGGAAAAUGAGAAAAGAUCUAUUGAUUUAAGGCCCCGUUUGGUAGUUUGGAAUCAUGGAGAAAGAAAUGGAAUUGGACAUGGAAUCUGUUAACAUGUGUGUUUGGUAUGCAAUAAUUAUGAUUCUUUGGAAUCAGGAUUCAAGGAAAUUUGAUGGAAUUGGAUUCCAUCAUAUGAAUCAUGGAAUCCAAUUCCAUGGUUCAUUUUCUCCAAUUUGCCCCUUCUCUCUCCUCCAAUAUAAUUUUUUUUAAUUUUAAAAAGGACACUUUAGUCUUUUCUUAUUUUAAAUACUUAUAUUUUAUUAAAAUUAUAUCAGGAUUCCAUCAUUAUACCAAACAUACUUUUAAAUCCAAUUCUAUUCCAAUUCCAAUUCUAAUUCCGAUUCCGAUUCCGAUUCCGAUUCCAUUAAAAACUCUUCCAUCAUACCAAACAUGGCCUAAUAGUCAAGUAGAAUCUAAAAUACAGUUUGGUAAAAUUUCUCGUAGUUUUCCUAAAAUGUUCUAGUUAUGAGUCAUAAAUUUGUUUGUUUGUAGAUGGAAGGGAUUAUUUGCCAAAUGUUUUAAAUUUGUUUGGGUUAAUUGGCAAUGACUAAAUUGAAGCGUAAUGUGCAAUUUGGCCUUAAAUUUUGUUUGAUCCUUCUUGUUUUCAAGAGAUUAACAUUGUAUGCCUGUUUGAUCUGUCUUGCAGAGAUCCCUGAGAAUGAUUACAUCAAAUAUUUUGCUCCAGAAUUUUCCUUGAAGAUUCCAAAUGGGCACAUAGAGAAUUUAAAUAGUAAAUCAUAUCUUAGCACCAUCAAAAUGCAAGUCUUGGAAAAUCUCCGUUACAUCCAACAUGCUC